GACGAACGCUGGCGGCGUGCUUAACACAUGCAAGUCGAACGGAAAGGCCCUGCUUUUGUGGGGUGCUCGAGUGGCGAACGGGUGAGUAACACGUGAGUAACCUGCCCUUGACUUUGGGAUAACUUCAGGAAACUGGGGCUAAUACCGGAUAGGAGCUCCUGCUGCAUGGUGGGGGGUGGAAAGUUUCGGCGGUUGGGGAUGGACUCGCGGCUUAUCAGCUUGUUGGUGGGGUAGUGGCUUACCAAGGCUUUGACGGGUAGCCGGCCUGAGAGGGUGACCGGCCACAUUGGGACUGAGAUACGGCCCAGACUCCUACGGGAGGCAGCAGUGGGGAAUAUUGCACAAUGGGCGGAAGCCUGAUGCAGCGACGCCGCGUGCGGGAUGACGGCCUUCGGGUUGUAAACCGCUUUCGCCUGUGACGAAGCGUGAGUGACGGUAAUGGGUAAAGAAGCACCGGCUAACUACGUG
rnacentral:rRNA from 1 species